rnacentral:rRNA from 1 species
UACGUAGGGGGCAAGCGUUGUCCGGAUUUAUUGGGCGUAAAGAGCGUGUAGGCGGCCAGACAGGUCCGCUGUGAAAACUCGAGGCUCAACCUCGAGAUGUCGGUGGAAACCGUCUGGCUAGAGUCCGGAAGAGGAGAGUGGAAUUCCCGGUGUAGCGGUGAAAUGCGCAGAUAUCGGGAAGAACACCAGUGGCGAAGGCGGCUCUCUGGGACGGUACUGACGCUGAGACGCGAAAGCGUGGGGAGCGAACAGG